rnacentral:rRNA from 1 species
CCUACGGGUGGCAGCAGUGAGGAAUAUUGGUCAAUGGCCGUAAGGCUGAACCAGCCAAGUCGCGUGAGGGAAGACGGCCCUCUGGGUUGUAAACCUCUUCUAUGCGGGGAUAAAGGUGUCCACGUGUGGAUGUUUGCAGGUACCGCAUGAAUAAGGACCGGCUAAUUCCGUGCCAGCAGCCGCGGUAAUACGGAGGGUCGGGUCGUUAUCCGGAUUUAUUGGGUUUAAAGGGAGCGUAGGUCGGUCUUUAAGCGUGCCGUGAAAUUUUGUGGCUCAACCAUGGGAGUGCGGCGCGAACUGGAGACCUUGAGUGCGGGGAAGGCAGGCGGAAUUCGUGGUGUAGCGGUGAAAUGCGUAGAUAUCACGAAGAACCCCGAUUGCGAAGGCAGCCUGCCGCAGCGUUACUGACGCUGAAGCUCGAAAGCGCGGGUAGCGAACAGGAUUAGAUACCCGAGUAGUC